GAUUGUUCACCCACCAAUAGGGAACGUGAGCUGGGUUUAGACCAUCGUGAGACAGGUUAGUUUUACCCUACUAAUGAUAGCGUCGCAAUAGUACGAGAAGAACCAUUAAUUCGCACAAUUGGUCAUUGCGCUUAGUUGAAAAGCCAGUGGCACGAAGCUACAAUGCAUUGGAUUAUGACUGAACGCCUCUAAGUCAGAAUUCGGGCUAGAAGCGAUGCAUGUGCCUAGCGCCCGUUUACUGACUCACAGUAGGGGCCGUUCGGCCCCCAAAGGCACAUGUUGUUAGUGAAGCCUGUACGGCGGAUGACCCGCGUAGGCUGCCUUAAAGUAUAGUUCCUGUCUCGACCGGCGGGUAGAAUCCUUUGCAGACGACUUAAGUACACGACGGGGUAUUGUAAGUGGCAGAGUGGCCUUGCUACCACGAUCCACUGAGAU
rnacentral:rRNA from 1 species